CACUUCUUUCCCACAUCAGAUGUUUCUUAAAGUAUGGAGGGGGUGCCACUAACAUAACACUCGAUACCUCAUUCCAGCGCUUCUAACAAGUUUCCUGAUGUGGCAUUCUGGGAACAAAACCUACCCUUUACCAGUGGCCCCAAGAGAUUCCACAAAAGAGGUGAAAUCAGUAUUGAAGUGGCCUUAUGAAGAUGGGAGCAGGACUACCCUAACUGACUGCUGACUUCUUACCCAAGGGGGAUAACCAUGUCCUAAGGUGAUCUCAGUGGGACCCACACUGUGGUUAUAAGCGGACAGGGUAGUGUUCAUGGAGUUGAUACAAACAACACAGGAUCUGGCAUUGGACAUCUUGCACAUAAAACCUGCCUUACCAUAUAUUAAUGGAGUGACUUGGCGAAGCUACUUAACUUCCUUCAGCUUCAGUUUCUUCAUUUGUAAAAGAGGAAUGUUAAAAAAACAUCUUCCCCAGAGAUUGCACAUGAAGAUGAAGUGAGGUAAGGUUGAAAUCAUCAACCUUAAGGGUUGGGUGUUAGGAGCUUACAGUUAUGAUGUUUCUCCUCAUGGGGAAUUCACGUGUACAUCAAAGUGUGAGAACUUA